AGCCACCAUUGUGGAUUGAACACACGACCUGUGGUGUAGAAGACCAGAGCUCUAACCACUGGGUUAUGGUGGC